GUCAAAAGACAGAUCAAAAGAGGUGCGGAUCCAUAAUAUUAAUGUCUAACCAGACUGCAUUGCAGACGUUGUCCUGUGGGAACUGCAGACUUCUUUCAGACUGAGGUUUUGGCACAAUUGAGCUGAAAUGUGUUCCUGGAAAAGCGCAGCAGGUCAGGCAGCACCCAAGGAGCAGGAGAAUUGACGUUUCGGGCAUGAGCCCUUCUCCAGGAAUCUUUUAGCACAAUUGAACCAAACUCAUCUGGAGCAGACACUUGAAUGU